AGGAGGAGCAGGAGCAGGAGGAGGGACGAAGGAGGCCGAGCCCUGAGGGAGAGCGCGUUGGGCAGAGGAGGAUCGCGAGCGCCCACUGCUGCCCGGCCGGUUCCGGUGCGGCCCCGAGUCACGCUCGCUGGAUGCCAGGAGCCACUCAGCGCUGGGCAGCUCAGCAGGACCCUACCUGGCAGAAGCGUCAGCCGCGGGUCCUGGAGUAGUUGGUCCCGCCUACCCCGUGUUGCGGCUCCUCGGGUUUCUAUCCAAGGAUGAAGAUCUCUGCUAGCCCAGAAGUGACGAUGCUUCUGCAGCAGAUGGGAGGGUGGAUGAUGACUUGCCACCACAGAGGCCCACAUCACAGCCAUCCUUAGAGACACUGAUCCUCACUGCUACACUCAAGCUCCGGGCUUCCUUCCUGCCGUGCUGUCCUCCCACCCCUCCUCAGAGAUGAAUGGAUCCCCAGCAAGCACGAGAGUGGAGCCAACUGAUUUCAAAACACAGCAUUGAGGAAAAACCCUGUGAAGGCAUUCGGUCAACUCCGCAUGUGGACAGUAUGUCAGGACUUCCCACUUGAUGAUCUAGUCAAUAUCAUCUCUUUGCAAUGAUGAAAAAUAAUAAAUAAACCUGAAUAUUCAUUGGUUGAAUCUAA